GUGAGGAAUCUUCCACAAUGGGCGAAAGCCUGAUGGAGCAACGCCGCGUGAAGGAUGAAGGUCUUCGGAUUGUAAACUUCUUUUAUGAGUGAAGAAUAUGACGGUAACUCAUGAAUAAGCACCGGCUAACUACGAGCCAGCAGCCGCGGUCAUACGUAGGGUGCAAGCAUUAUCCGGAGUGACUGGGCGUAAAGAGUUGCGUAGGUGGUUUAUUAAGUGGAUAGUGAAAGCUAGCGGCUCAACCGUAUAGAUUAUUAUUCAAACUGGUAAACUCGAGAAUGGUAGAGGUAACUGGAAUUUCUUGUGUAGGAGUGAAAUCCGUAGAUAUAAGAAGGAACACCAAUGGCGUAGGCAGGUUACUGGACCAUUUCUGACACUAAGGCACGAAAGCGUGGGGAGCGAACCGGAUUAGAAACCCCUGUAGUCC
rnacentral:rRNA from 1 species